CCUACGGGUGGCUGCAGUGGGGAAUAUUGGACAAUGGGGGCAACCCUGAUCCAGCCAUGCCGCGUGUGUGAAGAAGGCCCUCGGGUUGUAAAGCACUUUCAGUGAGGAAGAACGCCUGGUGGUUAAUACCCAUCAGGAAAGACAUCACUCACAGAAGAAGCACCGGCUAACUCCGUGCCAGCAGCCGCGGUAAUACGGAGGGUGCGAGCGUUAAUCGGAAUUACUGGGCGUAAAGCGCGCGUAGGUGGCUUGAUAAGCCGGUUGUGAAAGCCCCGGGCUCAACCUGGGAACGGCAUCCGGAACUGUCAAGCUAGAGUGCAGGAGAGGAAGGUGGAAUUCCCGGUGUAGCGGUGAAAUGCGUAGAGAUCGGGAGGAAUACCAGUGGCGAAGGCGGCCUUCUGGACUGACACUGACACUGAGGUGCGAAAGCGUGGGUAGCAAACAGGAUUAGAUACCCCGGUAGUC
rnacentral:rRNA from 1 species